rnacentral:lncRNA from 1 species
UGCGAUCCGGCCGAGCGAGCAGCCCAAGAAGGAGGUGGCGGGAUCGGAGGCAAAUUGGGUUGCAUCGGCAUUUGAGGAGCCAUUUGGGACUGCUGCAAGGAUGUUGGUGAAGAGGAGGACCUACUGCCUCGAAAUGAACUCUUUCUGAAGGAGGGGCCUUGUUUGAGAUGAUGAGACAGAUGCAUGAGGUACUUCCCUUUUUUAUGAUGUGGUUGAAUGCUAGGAGUAUAUUGUAUUCUCUGUUUUCUGUUGCUUUUUUCCCAUUCCCUUCGAAGUUAUAUUAUCAAUUAUCUUGUUUAUUGUCUCUUGUUAGUUUAUUCUUGUUAAUGUUUCAAUGAUAGUAAACCGCUCUGUGUAGGUUUCUGAAAAUCAUGGGUGUCAUAUUCUUGAUUAAUAAGUUCUGUUACCAAUUGCAUAUGGUUUUGCACUAAAUUACACAUUGGAUCCCCUAUUACAUAAGAGAGGUGCUUGAAGUAUGUCUUAAUCUAAAUAGUUUUGCCAGUCUGGUUCCAAUAAUUUCCUGAUAUUAGAGAUAUUAUCUUGCAUUCUGCCAUAUUUCAUGCUAUUUUCUUGGUUCUUCAUCUGUUUUGAAAUUUGAUUGUUUACAAAUGAAGAUGCUUGUUGUAAUACUGUUUCAUUGGUUCUGCAUCUUAUCAAUUGAGGUUGGAAGGGCACCGUCUAUCUCCAUUUCUAGAAAGCUAGGUGAAAUUUUCGUUCCGUUGUGAUGCAUCUGUCAUCUGGCUGGGACAUUGUGAAUGCGUUGUGAUUGUGAUUAUGGCAAACCAAUACGAAGUUGAAUGACUUAAGAGUUCUGCCAUGAUAACCUUUUAAUGUCUUCCAUUUCUCAAUUAACGUUGUAAGCUUGUUAUUAUUCAUGCCUAAGCUGCUAUGCCCAACCACUUUCUCUGUUCACGGAUUUCGCGUUUGCACUCUAGUUUUUGGGGAAUUCUGUGCUGCCACUGCGAUAUUGUCAUCUCUUAUAAGCUCUUCUUUCUUUAAAUACUGAUCUUUUUCUCCCUAAUCUAUUGGUAAUUCUGAUUUCUUUGUUCUAUACAAGGAUCUUUCAGGUAGAGUGUGGCAACGGAAGGUCCCAAAAGCGCAGAGCACGAAUUUUGUCUUGAGCAGAGCAAGCUGCAAGCCAGUUGCCGGCCAAGUUCAUACGGCUUCCGGUUACGACGUUGGUGGUUGAUGAAGAGCCUGCAAUUGAUGAUCAAACUGCUUUCAUUUUGAAUACUUUAAAGAGGGGGGGUGCUAUGCAACUGGAUAAUCAUGUUGUAAGAGUUAUGAGAUUUUGAUAAUCUGUCUGUGUUAGUUAUAUGUAUAUGUGAAUAUUGUAGGUAUGAUAUGACCAUCUAUGCUUAUCUGCUCUCCUUUUUCUGAAAGGUUCAGCUGCAUAUUAUAUUUUAGCUGAUUUACCCACCAAUAAAUGUCAAAACGCCUCUUCAUUUCUAUUAAUCAAGGAUAUUUUGUAGUUCAAUCUUCAUUUGUUUAUUUCUGCUAGGGUAGCAAAAUGAUUUUAUUUACUCAAUUCUUCGAUAUUUUUUCUAUGGUAUUAUCCUUUGAUUGUGACUGCCAUUUUCUCCACACCCUUCUAUUCUUCAUCAAUCAUCACUGCGCUAUAUAAUUAAAAGGACUAUAAAACAAAAUGAACAUAUAAAAAUAGUUGAUAUUAUAUGCAAAACCCUACUAUUCUUUUUACGGAGACUACGAAGUCAAAAAACAUAAUUAAUUUUGAAAAAUUAUAGUACUCUUUUCAGUAUACAAAAAAUUUGUCAUAUAUAUAUUUUUUCCGAUCUGUUCACGAAAACAUGUUAUUUAUAUUUAUAAUAGUAGAGUUCACACAACUUCACACACAUUAAAAUUGAGACUCUAGCUCUAUUAAAAAUUUUAUUCGCAUUUUAUUAAAAUUUAUGCUAUCUAUAAUGUGACAAUUUUUUUUGUGGACAGAUGAAUAGGUGUAACAAACGGAUUAUGUAAUUACUACUCCCCGUCCACGAAAAAUAAAAAUACUAGUUUCUUUUUAUUAUUUUGGGGUAUCCACGAAAAUUGAUCUCUAUACAUUAUUGAAAACUUUCUAUCAAGUGGUGAACUAUUUUCGCUACUCACAAUACAAUUAAUUAUCAUUAUUAAUAUUAUUUUUUUAAAUGAGACUCCUCUAUUUGUGAUACACUCAAUUAUUUUUAUUAAAAUUUGUGUCAUCCUCUUCUAUGACUAUUUUUUUGUGGACAAAUAGAUUAUUUGUGAGUAUAUUUUGGUAAAAAAAAAACGGUUGAAAACUUGAAAUCACACAUGUAUGAAUCAUUGAAUUGGAUCCUCUUCUUCAAUAUCAAUUCAGUGAAAUCUUGGAGACUCGAAUUAUUAGUGUUAGUAGGUAAAAAUGCCCACUUUGUUAAGUGUAAAAUUAAAAAUCUCACUUUUUAUAAAAACUUGAUCAUAUGCCCAAAUUAAAGUGAUGAAUCGAAAUUAUCCUUGGAUGUUGAUGAUUUUGCAUCAACUUUUGUGUAACUUUUUCUGAUACAAAUACAAAUAUUUAAGAAAAAUAUAAGAAAAAGUAGUCUGCUGUCGGAAAAGUAGGUUGUCACUCGAGCGGCAACCUACUUAGUGAGGUUGCCGCUCGUACGACAAGCUACUUUUUUGACCGGUAAGCUACAUUUUUAAUUGAAAAUUUUAAUUUGUUACAAGAAAAAGUAGGUUGCCGCUCGGGAGGCAACCUACUUAGUGAGGUUGCCAAUCGAGCGACAACCUACUUUUCCGACAACUGACUACUCCCUCCGUCCGCCAAAAAUAUGACACUUUGGCUGGGCACGAGAUUUAAUAAAAUUGGUAAUAAUGUUGAUGUAGUGGAGAAAUGGUCUCACAAUUUUAUGAGAUGUGUGGUUGAAAUUGAAUUUGAGGUGAAUUUUUUGUAAAUAAAGAGUGUUUGUAAGGAUAAAAUAUAAAAAUGGAUGGUGGGACCAUUGCCUUAAAAGGAAAGUUGUAUAAUCUUUGCGGACGCCCAAUAUAGUAAUUGUGUCAUACUUUUGGCGGACAUAUGAGAUAUUUUUUAUCUUACAAGUACACUGAUUGAGACAUGAAGGGUAGUUUAGGUAUUUUGAGUAUAUGAUUAAGUUUUUAUAAUAUGUGGAUAUUUUUAAUUUUUGACUUAACCAAAUAGGCAUAAAAAAUUCCGCCUCCGAAUUAUUAGUUACUAGAAAAUUAAAAGAGAAGAAAAGAAAAAAGAAGAAAAGAAAAUACUAGUAUAAUAUAGAAAAAAUACAGUAUAAAAAUAAAACGGAACGACAGGCAGCAAUGUCGUUUGGGAAUUCAACUGUCCCAGGCUCCGCAUAUCUACUGUCAUAGGCUCAUAGCCAUAGGCACUUAAAAAGCAAAGAAAAAAAAGAAAGAAAAAAACGAGAAGAAAGAAAAACACGCACAACACACACCACACCACCAUUUUCCUCUUCCUCCUCCUUCACUCACUUCUCCCAAAUUCCCCCCACCUCAUUAAACUCCCACCCUAAUUCCACAAAUCCAAACUCUCUCCCUCUCUCUCUCAGAUCCAUUGAGUUUGUUUGACUCAAUUUCUUCCUUCACAUCUUUCUACCUAAACUCGCUUGAAAUCACCUUCCGAUUCUCGUGUAUCUGGUGCCAACUUGUUGGGGGUGUUUUGGCUCAAGAGCUCGAAUUGUCGCUGAAAGCUAUGGCUUCGAUUGGAGCAGAUCUGUGCCGCAAAAUCUACCCCGAGCCGGUCGACCACUUCGAUCGGUUGCCGGACUCUCUCAUCCUCUUGAUCUUCAAUAAAAUCGGAGACGUGAAGGCGCUGGGCCGAUGCUGCGUCGUUUCGAGGCGGUUCCACUCGCUCGUUCCCCAAGUCGACAACGUCGUAGUCCGCGUCGACUGCGUCAUCUCCGAUGACGAUCCUUCCUCCAACUCUUCUUCGUCCGCAUCCGGUUCCGCCGCCGGCGACAAGUCGCGCCACCCUAUCUCCUCCCUCUUCCGCAUCUUCUUCUCCGGGAUCUUCAAACCCUUGCAGUCCCUGUCUCAGCUCAUCACCCCCUCGGCGCGCCGGCUUCCUCUUUCGGAGGUAUUUCGACUGCGAAGCGGAGCAGAGCACCGUCACACACCAUUCGCCGACGCAGGUCUUGAAGAAUUCAACGAGAUCAAGCUGCUCAGGAUAGAGCCUCCCCGACGGGGGAGCUGGGGAUUGAUGAAGGCGUUUUGCUCAAAUGGAAGCGGAAUUCGGCUCCACGCUUGACAGCUGCGUGAUUCUCGGAGCUUCGAGCGUCGUGCAGAGUGCAAAUAGCGGCUACAAUUGCCUGGGCGCUUGCAAUACCGCAAUUGGUGGUGAUAGUGGAGUGGAGAACGAUAAUGGUAGCAUACCGGAAUCGUUCUACACCAACGGAGGCCUGAAGCUGCGCGUUGUGUGGACCAUCAGCUCGUUGAUCGCCGCCUCCGCCAGGCAUUACCUUCUGCAGCCUAUAAUAGCGGAGCACAAGACGCUCUCGAGCUUGGUUUUGACGGAUGCUGAUGGGCAAGGGGUGCUGUCUAUGAAUAAGGAGCAGCUGGAGGAGCUGAGGGUGAAGCCUCUGUCAGCGUCGUCGGCUUCGAAGAGGACUCUUGUUCCGGCUCUCAACAUGCGUUUGUGGUAUGCUCCUCAUCUCGAGUUGCCUAACGGGGUGGUCUUGAAAGGAGCGACUCUGGUUGCGAUCCGGCCGAGCGAGCAGCCCAAGAAGGAGGUGGCGGGAUCGGAGGCAAAUUGGGUUGCAUCGGCGUUUGAGGAGCCAUUUGGGACUGCUGCAAGGAUGUUGGUGAAGAGGAGGACCUACUGCCUCGAAAUGAACUCUUUCUGAAGGAGGUGGCUUAUCUAAGGAUGAAGAGACAGAUGCAUGAGGUAUUUUCUCUUUUUUCUCUUUUUUUACAGAAUCCUUUAAUAAGUUUUGAUUGUUUCGGAGAUCUGUGGUUGAAUGCUAGCUAGUAUAUUGUAAUUCUUCAUUCUGUUGCUUUUUAUCUUAGGUUCGAAGUUGAAUUGUCUCUUGUUUGUUUAUUCUUAUUGCUGUUUCAAUGAUAAUAAAUUACUCUGUCUUGGUUUCUGAAAAUCAUGAGCAAUUUCUCAUACCAAUUGCUUCUGAUUUUUCCCUAAAUUGCAUAUUGGAUUCCCAAUUACAUAAGAGGGGUGCUUGAAGCUAUUGACUCCCUUUGCAUCUGUCUUAUUCCAAAGAGUUUUUCCACUCUGAUUCCAAUUGCGUCCUGAUUUUGGAUCCACUAUGUUGUUAUCUUGCAGUCUGUCACAUUCCCUUCAAUUUUGUUGGUUCAUAAUUUUUUUACUCCAAAUGAAGAAGAAUCAGAAGAUGCUUGUUGUGAACUACUUGAUCUGUUCUUUAUCUUAUCUAAUGGGAAUUGAAGGGCACUGUGUAUCUCCAUUGCUAGAAAGAUUGGUGGAAAUUUCAUUCUGCUAUGAUGCAUCUGUUUGGUUUUUAUACUCCUUACGUUUCUCAGUUAACCAUUUUAUAUCUAAGCUGUUGUGAGAGUGACUCUUGACCAGUUUCCUGUUUGAAUACUAGUUUUUGGGAAAUUCUGUGCUGCAACUGCGACAUCACCAUCUGUUUUAAGCUUUGAUUUCUUGAAUCCGUUUUAUAUCAGUGAUCCUGACUUCCUUAUUCAAGUAUCUUUCAGGUAAGCGAAGGUAAGGUCCCAAAAUCGCAGAGUGCAAAUUUUGUCUUGAGCAGAGCAAGCUGCAAGCGAGUUGCCGGCAAN